rnacentral:rRNA from 1 species
GAUGAACGCUGGCGGCGUGCCUAAUACAUGCAAGUCGAGCGAACAGAUGAGGAGCUUGCUCCUCUGACGUUAGCGGCGGACGGGUGAGUAACACGUGGAUAACCUACCUAUAAGACUGGGAUAACUUCGGGAAACCGGGGCUAAUACCGGAUAAUAUAUUGAACCGCAUGGUUCAAUAGUGAAAGACGGUUUUGCUGUCACUUAUAGAUGGAUCCGCGCCGCAUUAGCUAGUUGGUAAGGUAACGGCUUACCAAGGCAACGAUGCGUAGCCGACCUGAGAGGGUGAUCGGCCACACUGGAACUGAGACACGGUCCAGACUCCUACGGGAGGCAGCAGUAGGGAAUCUUCCGCAAAGGGCGAAAGCCUGACGGAGCAACGCCGCGUGAGUGAUGAAGGUCUUCGGAUCGUAAAACUCUGUUAUUAGGGAAGAACAAAUGUGUAAGUAACUAUGCACGUCUUGACGGUACCUAAUCAGAAAGCCACGGCUAACUACGUG